ACUCUAGUAUGGACUUCAAUCUACAUGUAUUGAGGUGGAUUGAGGUGUAAAAUAGUUUAAGUUACACCCCAAUCCACCUCAUUACAUGUGGAUUGGGGUCAAUACUAGA
rfam:Zea mays cultivar B73 chromosome 7, whole genome shotgun sequence.